GACGAACGCUGGCGGCGUGCCUAAUACAUGCAAGUCGAGCGAAGUUUUUCUGGUGCUUGCACUAGAAAAACUUAGCGGCGAACGGGUGAGUAACACGUAAAGAACCUGCCUCAUAGACUGGGACAACUAUUGGAAACGAUAGCUAAUACCGGAUAACAGUAUUUCUCGCAUGAGAGAUAUUUAAAAGUUAGUUAUGCUAACACUAUGAGAUGGCUUUGCGGUGCAUUAGCUAGUUGGUGGGGUAAAGGCCCACCAAGGCGACGAUGCAUAGCCGACCUGAGAGGGUGAUCGGCCACACUGGGACUGAGACACGGCCCAGACUCCUACGGGAGGCAGCAGUAGGGAAUCUUCCGCAAUGGGCGAAAGCCUGACGGAGCAACGCCGCGUGAGUGAAGAAGGAUUUCGGUUCGUAAAGCUCUGUUGUUAGGGAAGAAUGGAUAUGUAGUAACUAUACAUGUAAGAGACGGUACCUAACCAGAAAGCCACGGCUAACUACGUG
rnacentral:rRNA from 1 species